rnacentral:rRNA from 1 species
UACGUAGGGUGCGAGCGUUAAUCGGAAUUACUGGGCGUAAAGCGUGCGCAGGCGGUGAUGUAAGACAGUUGUGAAAUCCCCGGGCUCAACCUGGGAAUUGCAUCUGUGACUGCAUCGCUAGAGUACGGUAGAGGGGGAUGGAAUUCCGCGUGUAGCAGCGAAAUGCGUAGAUAUGCGGAGGAACACCGAUGGCGAAGGCAGCCCCCUGGGCCAAUACUGACGCUCAUGCACGAAAGCGUGGGGAGCAAACAGG